GGUAAAAUUGUUUAUCAGGUCAAGAUCUAUCUGUCCUGAAAUUUUCAGAUGAAUUGAGCAACCCGUUGUUGGGUUGCUGCCCCUGAAUUGGUAAUUUUAAGGAAAUUUUGCUGUUUUUGGUUAUUAUCUUGAAUAUUAUUAUAGAUAGAGAUAAACUGUAAACAGCAAUAAUGUUCAGCAAAGUAAGAUUUACAAAUAAAUCAACAUGACCGAAAUGGUCAGUUGACCCCUUUAGGAGUUAUUGCCCUUUAUAGUCAAUUUUUAACCAUUUUUCGUAAAUCUUGAUAAUCUUUUACAAAAAUCUUCUUCUCUGAAACUACUGGGCCAAAUUAAACCAAACUUUACCACAAUCAUCAUUGGGGUAUUUAGUUUAAAAAAUGUGUCCGGUGACCCGGCCAACCAACCAAGAUGGCCGCCAUGGCUAAAAAUAGAACAUAGGGG
rnacentral:lncRNA from 1 species